CUUCAAAAUAAAUAUAUGAAUACAUUUGCAUCAGAUGUGGAAAAAUAUGAAUUAAUUCAAGCGGAGGUGGUCGCUAGUAGUUCGUGGAACUCGGGUCUGGCAGGACACCAAGACGUAUAUUUAUGGCACAGCUUCAGAUUCUUUACAUUUUAUGGCAAUUUCUUCGACACUUUGUUUGCAGUAAUUAAAGUACAUUUUUUAAUUAAAAAAAAAAACUCACAAGAUCUAAAUGUUACAAUUUUACUUAAAGAAAAAAAAAUAAAGUUCCUAUUUCAGACUGA